UUACAAUUACUAGAUCUACUUUUCUUCACACAAAAAACACAUGUAGCUAAUAUCUUUCUUUAAAAUGUUUUAAGGUGAUAAAUUUUGUCAGUAAUUGUUGAAACAGAAUAAACCCGUGCCCCUUGAGUCUCAUUAAACUUGCCGACACACAACUAUAAAAUAAUUAAGGUGAUGACCUGUCCAAGCAGGCUUUUGGCCUAAUUGACAUUACAAGUCUCAACACUGAGUCAGCACUCAACAUACACCAACGACAGGUGGAAAUUGUAUCGGGAUUUCCUGUACUGACAAAGUCAACCCAGAUUGCAAGGCAGUACAAUAUGGAGAGACUUCUGUUAUGGUCUUCUCGGCUGAGUGAGGUGAAAAGUGCCACCUCAAGACUUUUGCUAGGCUGUGUCGUCCAUGAAUUGGCCCGUCUGAAAGGAACGUUACCCACGACCCCUCUUCAUUGCACAGAUCGGAAUCAGAUAGAUGUAUUAAGUCACUGUCAACAGAUCUAUUGUUGUUGUUUUUUCUGAAAUAUAAUAUUGUUUGGUGUUGAUUUUUUGGUCUAAUUAAAAGUAAAAGAAGUCUAAGUAU